ACUGCAUACGCUGAACCACUCCAUAAUCACAUUCAAAGAGUCAUUCACUGAAUGAAAUAUGAGUUGCAUAAAUCUGGAAAUGACCACUCUCCCAUUUAAUUUCCAACACCUUCAGAGAGGAUGGCUGGCACCUGGUGCUAGAACCCAGGCAACUUGAUUCCCACUGCUCAUAUGUCACUGAGAUAAACAGGAUAAGUGACCUUGUGAGAACAAGACCAUGCACUGUGCUGUGUGGGUAUAUAUACAGCAGACGGUGGAGAGAACACACACGUGCAUGCACUCAGAGGUGUCACACCUGAAGGAAGAAUCAAACAUGGGCAACUUCCAUGCUCACCACAACUGACCAUAGCACAGUAACAUUGUCAGUCACUUACACUCUCCCACUGGCUUUUCCUUUAGGUGGGACUGAGCAAUUUUGACAUCAAUCCUUUUGAAUAAUCACCG
rnacentral:lncRNA from 1 species